rnacentral:rRNA from 1 species
AUUGAACGCUGGCGGCAUGCCUAACACAUGCAAGUCGAACGGGCUGUAGCAAUACAGCUAGUGGCGGACGGGUGAGGAAUACAUGGGAACUUGCCUUUAGGUGGGGAUAGUCCGGGGAAACUCGGUUUAAUACCGCAUGAUGUCGCAAGACCAAAGCAGGGGAUCGCAAGACCUUGCGCCUUUAGAGAGGCCCAUGUCUGAUUAGCUAGUUUGUAGGGUAACGGCCUACCAAGGCGACGAUCAGUAACUGGUCUGAGAGGACGAUCAGUCACACCGGAACUGAGACACGGUCCGGACUCCUACGGGAGGCAGCAGUGGGGAAUAUUGGACAAUGGGCGAAAGCCUGAUCCAGCAAUGCCGCGUGUGUGAAGAAGGCCUCGGGUUGUAAAGCACUUUGAUCUGGGAAGAAAAAGCUUUGGCUAACAUCCAAAAGCCUUGACGGUACCAGAGGAACAAGCACCGGCUAACUCUGUGCCAGCAGCCGCGGUAAUACAGAGGGUGCUAGCGUUAAUCGGAUUUACUGGGCGUAAAAGCGUGUGUAGGCGGUUCGUUAAGUCGGAUGUGAAAGCCCUGGGCUCAACCUAGGAAUUGCAUUCGAUACUGGCGGGCUAGAGUACGGUAGAGGGCGGCGGAAUUCCGGGUGUAGCGGUGAAAUGCGUAGAUAUCCGGAGGAACACCGAUGGCGAAGGCAACCGCCUGGCCUGUACUGACGCUGAGACACGAAAAGCGU